rnacentral:rRNA from 1 species
CCUACGGGCGGCAGCAGUGAGGAAUAUUGGUCAAUGGACGCAAGUCUGAACCAGCCAUGCCGCGUGCAGGAAGACGGUUCUAUGAGUUGUAAACUGCUUUUGUACGAGGGUAAACGCAGAUACGUGUAUCUGUCUGACAGUAUCGUACGAAUAAGGAUCGGCUAACUCCGUGCCAGCAGCCGCGGUAAUACGGAGGAUUCCAGCGUUAUCCGGGUUUAUUGGGUUUAAAGGGUGCGUAGGCGGUGGGAUAAGUUAGAGGUGAAAUCCCGAGGCUCAACUUCGGAAUUGCCUUUGAUACUGUUUGGCUAGAGAGUAGUUGCGGUAGGCGGAAUGUAUGGUGUAGCGGUGAAAUGCUUAGAGAGCAUACAGAACACCGAUUGCGAAGGCAGCUUACCAAGCUACUUCUGACGUUGAGGCACGAAAGCGUGGGGAGCAAACAGGAUUAGAUACCCCAGUAGUC